CUACGGGCUGCUCCAGUUAAGAAUCUUCUACAAUGCGCGCAAGCGUGAUAGAGUGAGCCAGAGUGAUUCUCAACAUUGAGAGUCUUUUGCCAAAUGUAAAUAGUUUGGCGAAUAAGGACCGGGAAAGAUUGGUGCCAGCCGCCGCGGUAAUACCAACGGUUCGAGUCGCAGCCACAUUUAUUGGGUCUAAAACAUCCGCAGCUUGCUUUGUAAGUCUCUUGUGAAAUCCCAUCUCUCAAGGAUGGGGCGUGCAGGAGAUACUACAUCGCUAGAGACCGGGAGACGUAAGGAGUACGGAAAGGGUAUCGGUAAAAUGAGUUGAUCCUUUUUGGACUAACAAUAGCGAAGGCACCUUACGAGAACGGAUCUGACAGUCAGGGAUGAAGGCCAGGGUCGCGAAAGGGAUUAGAUACCCUCGUAGUC
rnacentral:rRNA from 1 species